UGCCUCAUACAUGCAAGUCGAACGGGAUCUUCGGAUCUAGUGGCGCACGGGUGAGUAACAUGUGGGAAUCUACCUGAAGGUUCGGAAUAACUGCGGGAAACUGUAGCUAAUACCGGAUGUGUCUGCAAAGAAAAAGAUUUAUCGCCUUCAGAUGAGCCCGCACUAGAUUAGCUAGUUGGUGAGGUAACUGCUCCACCAAGGCUACGAUCUAUAGCUGAUUUGAGAGGAUGAUCAGCCACACUGGGACUGAGACACGGCCCAGACUCCUACGGGAGGCAGCAGUAGGGAAUAUUGGACAAUGGGGGAAACCCUGAUCCAGCAAUGCCGCGUGAGUGAAGAAGGCCUUAGGGUUGUAAAACUCUUUCAUCAACGAUGAUAAUGACAUUAAUUGAAGAAGAAGCUCCGGCUAACUUCGUGCCAGCAGCCGCGGUAAUACGAAGGGGGCUAGCGUUGUUCGGAAUCACUGGGCGUAAAGCGUAUGUAGGCGGAUCAAAAAGUUAGAUGUGAAAUCCCUGGGCUCAACCCAGGAACUGCAUUUAAAACUAGUGAUCUAGAAAUUGGUAAGGGUUAGUAGAAUUUCCAGUGUAGAGGUGAAAUUCGUAGAUAUUGGAAAGAAUACCAGAAGCGAAGGCGACUAACUAGGCCAUUUUUGACGCUGAGAUACGAAAGCGUGGGUAGCAAACAGGAUUAGAUACCCUGGUAGUCCACGCAGUAAACGAUGAGUGCUAGUCGCUGGGACAUUAGUUUCAGUGUCGAAGCUAACGCAUUAAGCACUCCGCCUGGGAAGUACGGU
rnacentral:rRNA from 1 species